UUCAUUAUUUUUGUGACAUUAUUUUACCAACAAAAGAACUUAACCAAAUUUUGGAGAGAAAAGCCCUCUUCUUGAUUCAUUUUUGGAUUUUGAAGAAUGAAUUAGUUUGUGGGUGGAUUUGAAUGGGGUUUACUGUGCAUUAGAGUAGGAAUUGGCAGGUCUUCAAUGAUAUCCAAGAAUUGUACAAAUUUGUUUGGUAUGUUGGGAGUUCUUUGCAUUUUCAUUUUGAAGAAAAAUGAGGAAUAAAAUGAUGUUGUGGUGGAAGCUUUCCUGUCAUGCCAAUUGUAGAAAGAGAUAUUCAAGGAGGUAACUGAAAGAUUGAAUCGGCAGAAAUGUUGAUGAGCGUAAGGAACGGCAGAGGAAAAGUAGGCGCGCAAUACUUACUGAUCUCUUACUCAAGUGGGCACUAGUGUUGUAGAUACCGCCAUGAUAUGUUAUGACUAUGGUUCGGUUUAGAUCCACAUUAUCAGUGACUUAACUUCGGUUGUUUCCUUUCUUGAAUAAUUAUCCGCCUCUUCUCAUCGGUGUGAUCUGUGUUGUAGGAAGUAGUUGUUUUCUUUUAAAUAAAGGUCUUUAUCUCUUUUCAUAGGUUAGAAAGAAAAGAGAAGAAACAAAGAAGAGGAUUUUUAGAAAUAAAGUUACAAGUGUUUUGGGUUUC